AAGUCGAACGCGCAAAGGGGAGCAAUCCCUGAGUAGAGUGGCAAACCGGUGAGUAACACGUGGGUGACCUGCCUUCGAGUGGGGGAUAACGUCCCGAAAGGGACGCUAAUACCGCAUGACAUCCUGCCUUUGGACAGGCAGAGAUCAAAGCUGGGGAUCGCAAGACCUGGCGCUUGAAGAGGGGCCCGCGCCUGAUUAGCUAGUUGGUGAGGUAACGGCUCACCAAGGCGACGAUCAGUAUCCGGCCUGAGAGGGCGGACGGACACACUGGGACUGAGACACGGCCCAGACUCCUACGGGAGGCAGCAGUGGGGAAUUGUUCGCAAUGGGCGCAAGCCUGACGACGCAACGCCGCGUGGAGGACGAAGAUCUUCGGGUCGUAAACUCCUGUCGAGCGGGAAGAACGUUUCGUGGGUGAAUAACCCGCGGAAGUGACGGUACCGCUAAAGGAAGCCCCGGCUAACUCCGUGCCAGCAGCCGCGGUAAUACGGGGGGGGCAAGCGUUGUUCGGAAUUACUGGGCGUAAAGGGCUCGUAGGUGGCCAACUAAGUCAGACGUGAAAUCCCCAGGCUCAACUUGGGAACUGCGUCUGAUACUGGAUGGCUUGAAUUCAGGAGAGGGAUGCAUAAUUCCAGGUGUAGCGGUGAAAUGCGUAAAUAUCUGGAGGAAUACCGGUGGCGAAGGCGGCAUCCUGUACCGAGAUUGACACUGAAAAACGAAAGCCAAGGGAGCAAACUGGAUUCAUACCCCGGUAUUCCUGGCCCUAAACAUCAAUGCUUGGUGUGACAGGUAU
rnacentral:rRNA from 1 species